AUGUCGUUCCACCGCGGCAGCAGCUCCGGCACCAGCGGCAACGACGGACCCAGUGCGUGGCCGUCGAGCCUGAGCACGCCGGAGACGGAGGAGCUUUACCGGUUCGAGCUCCUCGUGCCGCCGGGUUGCCGUCUUCUGCAUGACUGGAAGCUCGACAAGGACGGCUACCCGACGCGCGGGCCCGGCGCCACCACGGAGGAGAAGCGGACCGGCGGCCGCAACAACAUCGCCGGCCGUCACGCGUUCUGGGACGGCAAAGACUACGCCGCCGUCAUCGGCGCGUACCGGCUGGCGGAGUCCGGCGUCACGCCUGACCUCACCGGCGACCGUCGCCGCCUUCUUGUCCCGCGCCCCCGUCCAGCAGCGCGCGGCCGUCGGGCUCCUCCACCACCUGCGCCGGCGCCCACCGAUCCCCCCGCCCCGCCGGAGGUGGAACUACCGCCGGAGCAGUUGGUUCUUCGGGAGGACGGCGAUCCCGACGAUACGCCGGGUUACCUCGUCACCCUGCGCGCGUCGGCGGCUGCAGCGGCGGCUGCAGAGGUGGCGGCGGCGGCUGCAAGGGAGGCCGCCGAGCAGGCGGCAGCGAUCCAGGCAGCGGCGGCGAUUCCGCCAGUGGUCCCGCAGGCGGAGGUGGAGGCGCCGGAGUCGUCGGACGACGACGUCAUUGACUGGGAGCGGUUAGCCCAGGACAGCGACGACGAUGACGACGACGGCGGGGGUGACGGCGGUGACGUCGGGGAGGUCAUCGAUCUGUUGGCUAGCGACGAGGAGGAGGAGUAG
rnacentral:rRNA from 1 species